GCCCAGGUGGCGGAAUUGGCAGACGCGUACGUUUGAGGGGCGUAUGGGCUUCCCGUACCGGUUCGAGUCCGGUCCUGGGCACCA
rnacentral:tRNA from 1 species